CUCUCGUGGUGUCGGUGUCGCCGUCUCAGCCUUUCCCGUAUUCAUUAUCGCUUGUGUGGCAGCCGGUAUUGAUUCUCGAGCGCCAUGAAACUUUUUUCUUACCAAAGUAGCGUGUGCGGCACCCUAGUGCUUGCGCUGUGCUUGCUCUACUGCGUUCUCGCUGCGUCAUCGACGCCGGCCCCCACUGAUCUCAUCACUGUUGCCGGGAGGGUGCAUGUGAGGAAUGAGGUUGUUCAGUACGUCGUGGUGCGGGUAGUGGACGACAAGACGGGCGUCGUGGUACGCAGCGCUCCUCUAGAUGCUACGCGCUCGGUUAGUUUUGCAAACAUCGCCUCCUCAGCUGUGUCUCUUGAGGCCACCGUCGAGCUGCCGGACCACUUGUUCGAGCUAGACGCAUCUUCCUCUGUCCUCAAGAGCGCCAUUUCGACUUCCAGCUCCACCACUCCUGUGCAGCUGACAAUUUCCACCAUCAGCAAAGCGGAGGGUGCGGCGCGAAAGGCACCGACUCCUACCGCCGGUAGCAGUGGCGCGUCGGCUGUACUCGCGCUGAUGGCGCUGGUGGCGGGGUGGUACAGCCGUCACAAGAUUGUCAGCGUGCUGGACAUGCCGAGCCUGAGGAUGCCAAAGCCGCGAAAGGUGAUGGGCUCGUUCGCGUCCUCCAAGCGUGCCUCGAUGAGAUGAUCGGUGUUGAGCCGGACCUGCAGCAUGCUGGCGGGCCUCUGUUCGCGGAACUGUCCACGCGCCCGCGUCUCUACCUUCAGGCGAUGAGCGACUUAUGCUAGUAAGGUAAAGCGUACGAAAAAAAAAGACAACCAAGGCCGCAAGUCUUAGCGGCGAGCGAAUGGGAGAGAAGAUAGCGUUGCACCCAUCCUCGCUGCGUGGGUGACACCAGUGAAUCCUUGCUCACAGGGCGAGAAAAGAAAUGUGGGCAGUACACUGGACGCCACGUCGCAUCUUUUUAUUUCGCCCGC
rnacentral:misc_RNA from 1 species